AAGAAGAUGGUGGAAAAUAUCAAACCGUCCCCUCCAUCACAAUUACUAAAAUACAAAGGUCUAGAUCAGAUCAAACAAUAUUUGCAAAAUUUCGGCUACCUCGAACAAUCUGGGCCGUUCAAUAACACUCUAGACCAAGAAACAGUCUUAGCCCUUAAGACCUACCAACGAUAUUUCAAUAUCUAUGCAGGCCAAGAUAGCUUACGCAAAAUUUUACAACAUAUAGCAUUACCACGAUGUGGUGUUCCUGAUAUGAAUUUCACGUACGACUCCACCAAUGAUAUAUCGUAUCCGAAAGGAAACCAAUGGUUUCCUAAGGGAACGAAAAAUCUUACCUAUGGUUUUGCUCCCAAAAAUGAAAUCCCACUCAAUGUGACCAACGUGUUUAGAAAAGCCUUGACACGAUGGUCGCAGACCACUAGGGUCUUAAAUUUCACAGAGACGACAUCAUACGAUGAUGCUGACAUUAAGAUUGUGUUCAACAAUAUGACUUACGAUGAUGGAAUCUAUGAUGUUGUCGUGGCUGUCACUCUUAUCAAACUUGAUUCAGCGAAUAUGAACACGGGUUUGAUAAGUCUGGACAUUACAAAGCACUGGGUGUUUCCAACUGAGGACGGAGAAUUGGAUUUGGAGACCGCCGCGAUGCAUCAGAUAGGUCAUCUGUUAGGACUUGAACAUUCUUCUGAUAGCAAGUCUAUUAUGUAUCCAACUAUAUUGCCAUCACAGCAAAAGAAGGUGCAGAUAACAGAUUCAGAUAACUUAGCAAUCCAAAAACUCUAUUCCAGCUCUACAAAAGCCAAUGCAAACUCGGAUGAUAGUAGUGGGUGCUUUAAACUUUCUGGGUCUAGUUCUAGCCUCUUUAUCUCUUUGUCCAUUGUAUUUGCUUUUGUGGCUCUGUUGAACUAGCAUUUAAAUUAUGUCAUUUGAUUAGAGUCUUUUUUUUACAUAAGUUUAAUAAUUAAUGUGUAAUCAAUUACACAUUUGGGAAGAAAAAAAAUUGUCUUGUGGUUUAAUGAUAAAUAAAAUUUUUAGUUUUUGUUAUGUUGUUUGCCUUCGGUUUAUCAAGUUGUUGAAAUAGUUUUACAAUCAAACACAAUACAAUUGAUGUUGUCAUGUCCAACCCAUUAAAAACACUUAUUGUAAUUUUUUAUUGAAAAACAAUAAUUAUUUAUUAAAAGGUAUUAUAUUUAAUAGAAAAUGUUCAAAUUUCAAUACAAAUUUACUAUUUUGAAUUUCUUGACAUGUGUAAAUUUAAACAUGAUAGAAAAAACUCAUCUAUUAUACCUUUUGAUGAUUAAGAAUCCAUUUCACAUGCUAUCCCAUAAACACUGCUUCUUACCCAAUCAUUAACAUCAUUUAGUAAUGAUUUCACAAAUAUGGAAAGGAAGAUAUCCAGCUCUUCUUGAAAAUUGUUUUAAGGUCCUUAAACUGUUCAGUGCUGCUGAAUUGUAUUAAUGUCAAGUCCCUUCAUGCUUCACCACUAAUUCUACAUGUCCCUUUAGAGUAUGAAGUUCCCUAAGCCUGUCACCCAUUUUAAAAAAAUUGUUAAAGGAACCUUACUUAUCAACCAUGCAAUAAUAUCCCCCAAUAUAAUUGCCACUUGCUAAACAUAUUUUUUUGGUAAUAACUUGAUGCUUGGCUUGUUUUGCAGUCUCCUAAAGUACCCAAUUGUUAUUCUUUUCAUUGUUCUUUGUAGUAAAGGUAGUUUGUGAUGAGAGAAGCAUGAACAUGAUUAGAUCACAUUGAUUCAACCAUAUGAUAUCAUAUUGAUUUUACUUGGAAAGGCAUUUUAAUAUAUCAUAUUGAUUUUACUUUGAGGGUUGCUCAAUCCAAGGCCCGUUCAUUACAUUCAAUAUACUGCAUGCCUCGCUAUAUUGAAGAUCUGGCAACAGCUUUGAUGUAAGUAAGAAACACCUACAUACGAUUAAUCAUCACUUACGCGUUAGAAAUUAAUGUGGGGGAACAAAGCCCAGCAGUGGCUGGCAAAUCUGCAAAGAUCAACCUUCAUUUCCAAGUUAGAACGAAUGCCAAGCAUCACAUUCAAAAUAUAUGGGCUUUUUUGCCUCACAUAUAUUACUCUUAUUAGUGUUUCGUCUAUGUGUACUGGGUUACAGGCUCGGCCCUAGUUAAUCCAAUAACUCUUACAGCAUUUCACUCUUUCAAGCUUCAUGCUUGGCCCAUAUCGUCAUUAUUGCCUAAGCCCAUUGGCCAAACUAAAGAGCCCAUCAUCCGAGACCUAUACACUCCUAAUGUGGGGAGCAAGGUCCCAGGCCCUAAGCGAAAUUUAGGAGCAAACAGGAUAUACUUUAGGAACAAGCAAGAAACCCUGAAAUUCUCCUAUAUAUAUAGGGGUCACUAGCUAACCCAAUUCUCAUCUACUUCCUACCCGCCUCAUACACAGUGUACAAGGCCUAGUGAACGGCUCAUCGUAGGCUAGGUCAGACAUCAGUCUAAGCAAGAACACCAUGCAUGCAUUAAAGAGUGUUUCUCUUCAAGCUGAUGUGAUGUGACACCAGCCAGUUGAUAUAUAUAGCCAUUGUUUAUCCUCCUUUAGUUCAAAAGUCUUAAAAAAUGAAAAUACGGUCUUUUACUGACUGAAUUAGGUAUUAACAUGCAUUUAUCAAGUUUUAAUAUCAAAUUUUAAACAAAGGAACCAAAAAGAUCAAGUAAUAGUAGUUAGUAGUACUCGCUGUGGCGUAUUUGGCUUGCUUGCUGCUCUCACUAGUUGCUGAAACAUCUUCCUCUCAUUUAUUGGGUCCAUCCCUGAUGAAAAUAGAGUCAAAGAUCAUUUCAGUUCUGAGCCGUUAAUCCUGAAAGGAUUUACUUCAAAGAAUAACCAACCUUGAUUGAUCUCAUCCACAAAUCAAAAUGGGCAGUUUGUAGGAUCUUGAAGGGAAACAAGAUAAACAAUAGUUGAAACUGAUCGCUCCUGGAUAACCAAAAUUAGAGGUUAAUUAGUGAGAGUGGCGGUGGGGGAGCACAAGUUUUGUACCGCAUACAACUACAAUAAGUAGUGUACAGUACAUAAAUUUAUGAAAGCAAAUAUUUCAUAACAAGUUUUGUACGGUACACAAAUCUAUGCAUUCAAAGUUUUGCCCUUUGUUUCUAGCAGGUGUAUGUGUCUUACAGUAUUUUCUUUUCCUGUUUUUCCGACACUUAUUUUGUUGCCGAGUUAUGCCAACGAUGUUUUCACUGUUUAGUCUUAGAGUCCUGUUUCCUGAGCUUGCUGUUUGUUAUUUUUUCUGGAAUUUCUUGUUGAAUAUUUUUGCUGUUUUAUAUUCUGUUUGAGAAGGAUUUCACAGCAACAGAAAUAGAGAUGACAGAGACAGAUUUAAAAGAAGGGACUUUGACCACUGCAGGUACAGCAGCACCCUGUCUACGCCUCAUUCCGCUGUUUCAGAGCAGCGUUUUCCACAGUCUAAUGCAGCCAAUAUUGCGAGAUCAUAGUGAUGCUGUGAUCCUUAGUCCCACCCUAGCUAGUCGUAGCCCAGUGUGGCCAUUCCCUCGCCAUCUGUGGCCUCUCAUAACGAUUACAUUAAUCAUAAUAGUCAGACUGAUAUCAACAACUAUGUAGGCUUAGGCGGGGUUUCCCUCUUAACAAUGAAGUUGACUACUAACCAGAAGUUACAACAACCAAUAAUAAGAAUGAACAGUAACCACUUAAAAGUACAUUCUUAGAAACAGAAUAAACAAAAUAACUGGUUCAGAAUAACACUCACCUGAAUUUGACUUUUAUAAGUAUUCCAAAUUGAUCAAAAUCCAUAUCAUUCAUUAUCGGUGUUGUCUUAUAGUGCAAGAAAAUUCAACCAUAAAAAGAAAAAACUUCAGCAAUUUAAAGAAAAACUCCAAAGAUCGUUCAUUAUCAGUGUUGUCUUACGGUGCAAGAAAAUUCAACUGAAAAAAACAAAAACUUCAGCAAUUUGAAGCAAAACUCCAAGGAUCAUUCAUUAUCAGUGUUGUCUUACUGUGCAAGAAAAUUCAACCAGAAAAAGCAAAAAAACUUGACAAUUUGAAGCAAAACUCCAAAGAUCAUUCAUUAUCAGUUGGUGGGUGACCAUUUCUUUCUGCUAAAAUAUUUUUCUAUGAUUCUCAAUUAAAAUUUUGUGCAGCCGCGCAGUCCAUUAUCAAAUUGACAAGUGGAAUUACUUCAUCAAUCUGUAUAUAUAAUACAUACACUCAGCUUAGCUAUGUAUUAAUUAACAUGAUGAAGUUAUAUCAAUUUGAAUUGCUCUUAUUCCUUCUCCUUAUCAUUGACAAUACAACCCUUUCACAAAAAAUUUCUCCUAAAAUUGUCUCUUCUAUUCUCAAACCAAUAUUGAAGGAGGUUAGACAACAAGCUACUGAGUAUGCAUUGAAGAAGUCAUUGGACAAGAUCACACAAUCUCCUACUCCAGAGCAACAAGCCGAAGUGAUACAAGGCCUAUAUCAAAUCAAACAAUAUUUGUACUAUUUCGGCUACCUCCAACAAUAUGGGCCAUUCAAUAAUGUUCUAGACCAACAAACAAUGUCAGCCAUUAAGAUCUACCAACAAAAUUUCAAUCUCCAAGUUACUAAUGGCUACCUAAACACUGAGACUUCACAACAAAUCUUGUUACCACGAUGUGGUGUUCCUGAUAUGAAUUUCGAGUACAGCUUCACCAAUGAUAAGUCGUUUCCCAAAGGAAACAAGUGAUUUACUAAGGAAAAAGAAUAUCUUACCUAUGCUUUUGCUCUGACGAGCCAAAUCCCACUCGACAUGACCAACGUUUCACACGAUGGUCACAAACCACUAGGGUCCUAAUUUAGCGAGACGACAUCAUACGAUGAUGCUGACAUUAAGAUUAGAUUCUACAAUAUUAAUUACAUCGAUGGGGUUGAUGAUGUUGUGGUGGGUGACGCGGUUAUCAAACUCGGUUCGAAUGUGAAUUCAGGUUUGAUACGCCUGAUUGCUUCAAAGUACUGGGUGUUGCCAACUGACAACUACAUGUGGUCAUGGCAGAACGGAGAAUUUGAUUUGGAGACGGCGGCAAUGUAUCAGAUAGGUCAUCUUCUAGGACUUGAUCACUCUUUCGAUAAGGAGUCUGUUAUGUAUCCAGCCAUAUUGCCAUUACAACAAAGGAAGCUGCACAUAACAGAUUCAGAUAACCAAGCCAUACAACAAAUCUAUUCCAAUGCGAACUCUGACAAUGGUGGGUGCUUCACAAUGUUUGGAUCCAGUUCUGGUCUCCUUACCUCUUUGUUCCUUGGAUUUGCUUUUGUGGCUCUCUUGAACUAGCAUCUUAAAUUAUCCUUUAAUUUUGGAUAUGCUUUUUUAAUUUGUGUAAUACUUUACUUCAUGUGCCAUUUUUCGUUAAUGCUAAUUAUGUUACGGUAUCCACUACUCUCUUAUAAUGAAGUACAAAAAUUACAUUAUUUAUGCGCAAAUCCUUCAACCACCUUAUCGCAUAUGACACACCUAAAGCUUCUCCUUCAUCAACUUUAAGGAUGGGUGAAAUCCAUUUUGUUUUUGCUAAAACGAAGCUUCCUUGAUCGUCCCUGAUGCAUAUACCAAUGCCAACUCUAUUAGUUGCCGUUGAGAAUGCUGCACCGACGUUGCAUUUAUAUCUUCCUCUGUCUGGCUUCUUCCACGUGUGAUUGGAAAUAUGUUGCUGCUGUAUCAUCAUCGUUCCACUACGACACACCUGCGCAUUUUGCCAACAGAUUUGUUCCCCUUGCACAUACUGCCACCGUAAAUUAUUUCACUCCUCCAUAUCAGAUAAUUCAUUUGCUUCCAAAUUGACCAAAUAGUGCAACCAAACACAGCUUGAAGAUUCUUACUUAAUUUGUGUAAAACGUUGAAAAUCAAAGAACUCACACUUAGCUCAUCUUGUAUCAACGGUUGAAUUACUUGUCCAAUGGCCAAUAUGUUGCCAACAAAAACUGUUGUUGGAGCAAUGAAAAAAGAUAUGCAUGCUGACUUCCAUUCCACCAUCACACAAAACACAAUUAUACAGACAGUUGACACCGCAGUCGUGACUUCUUACCCUUGUAGGUAAACAGUUUCGACAAAACCGCCAGAGAUUCUUGACUUUUAAUUGAGCUUGGAUAAAGAUUCUUGACUUUUAGGUGAGCUUGGAUAUUCCAGAUUUGAUUCUAGUUGUCUUCUACUCUAUGAUUAUUCAAUGCAAGAACUUGCUGCAAACUAAUAUGAUAGCCACUCCUAACAGAAUAUAUACCAUAUGUCUCAAAUUUCCAGAUUCUCCUAUCAGUUUGAAUAAAACCGGUGUUUGUAGAAUUCGCUGUAAAUCAACAUUGGUUACCAAGCUUUGAAGUGAUUUAAUAUUCUACACCCUCAAUUUGAGCAUUCCAAAAGUCUGCAAUUGUAAAGCUGUUAAGCUCUUCAGGAAAGUCUGCAGGUUUGUCAAUUGCAUUACCGUCAACUAGCCAAUUUUGAUCCCAAAACGGAAUAGUUUCGCCUGAAUCGAUACUCCACUUUUUUUUUAUCCGAUACUCCACUUAUAUCUAUCUUUGACCCCAAAUACUACGCCAAACGUAACUUGGGUUGUAUCCACUAUAAAUAGCAAACAUGCUUGCGGAGAAAAAACAUCAUGCUCAGAGUCAUUUUCAUCCACAAACAACCAAUAAAAAAUGCAACACAACUCAUUUAUUACUCAUCCUUCAGGCUCAAACUUUCUCUUCACUUAGUCUCACCAAAGUUCUCUCAAGUGUUCAAUUGUUAAGCAAUUCACUCAAAUUCUAGGUCAUGCAUCCGCCUACCAUAGGAUUGAAAAAAAUUCUUUACAGCAUAAAAAAUAUAACAUGGUUAAGGAGUAUAUUGUAUAAAAACCCAUAUAAAACACUAAAAAGGUUAAUAUAAAAAAAUACAUCUAAAGUUAAACUAGAAACAACUAAUAAAUAUAAUUAAUACAUUAUAUGUUACAAAUACAAACCUUACUGUUGUAUCUUGACGAAGAAAAAGAACCUCACCGUUGUACAAGCAAUAGUAGCAACAACGGUUUUAAUCCUCAUAACAGCAUAAACAAAUAGGAAAGAUAUUUUUACAUUCUUAUAGGUACACAUUCAAUCCAAUCAAUGAAACAAAAGCAAGUUCACCCGAUUGCAGGCUAAAACUUUCUCCAAAAAACUAUACAAAAUGCUAAAUAAGCGCUAUUGCUCUGCAUCGCUGCAACUCCAUAGUGUUUUUUUUACUUUAACAUGAAAUCUCUCCAACAUGUCCAGUGAUAAUACUCCAUCGAUCACCAGUAGUCCAGGCUGAUUUACAACGAAAAAAUGUAUGGUAAGCAAUAUCAACAGUUAAAGAAAGAGAAUAUAUGCAGUUUUCAGUAUGAGAAAUUACCCUUCGAGGGCUUCUCAAUCCAAGGGCCAUUCAUUACAUUCAAUAUACUGCAUGCCUCACUAUAUUGCAGAUCUGGUAACAGCUUUGGUGUAAGUAAGAAACACCUGCAUAAGAUUAAUCGUCACUUACGCGUUAGAAAUGAACAAAUGUUGGGGAAAAAAGCCCAUCGGUGACUUGAACUAUUGUGUAGCUAGUAUGAAUGACAAGCAUCACAUUCAAAAUUUACGGGCUUGUUUGCCUCACAUAUAUUGCUCUUAUUAGUGUUCCAUAUACAUACUACGUGGACUGAGCUAAAGGAUCGGCCCGAGUUAACCCAAUAACUCUGAACAUUUCAUCCUUUCAGGCUUCAUGCUUGGGGGUUGUGAACUGGGCUAUGGUCUCGGUCCAUAUCCUCAUUGUUGCCUAACUCCAAUGGCCAAACUAAAGAACUCAUCAUCCAAGACCUAGAUACUCCUAACUUGGGGAACAAGGCGGAGCCGGCCCUAAGAGAAGAUUUAGAACCAAGCAAAAGACCCUAAAAUUCUCCUAUAUGGGUCACUAGGUAGCCCAAUUCUCAUUCACUUCCUACCCACCUCAUACACAACGCACAAGGCAUCGUCUAACCCCAAUUCUAAGCAAGAACACUAUGCAUGCAUUAACCGAGUGAUUCGCUUCCAGUUGAUAUAAAUAGCCCUUGUUUAUCCUUCUGUUGUUAAGAAGUCGUAAAAUGAACAGUCUUUGACUUACUGAAUUAGGUAUUAACAUGUAUUCAUCAAGUUUUAAUAUCAAAUUUUAAUCGACCGAACUGAAAAUAUCAAGUAAUAGUAGUUAGGAGUACUCACUGUGGUGUACUUGGCUUGCUUGCUGCUCUCACUAGUUGCUGAAACAUCUUCCUUUCAUUUAUUGGGUCCAUCCCUGAUAAAAAAGUCAAAGAAGAUCAUUUGAGUGUUGAGUUCCGUUAAUCCAGAAAGAAUUUACUUCAACAAAUAACCAACCUUGGUUGAUUUCAUCAACAACUCGAAAUGGGCAGUUUGUAAGAUCUUGAAGGGAAACAAGAUAAACAAUUGUUGAAACUGAUCGCUCCUGGAAAACCGAAAUUAAAGGUUAAUUGGUGAACGGAGAACAAGGGGAGCACAAAAGCACUAAAAAGAUAAUCUUUAGUACCCCUCCAGAUUGAUGAUGGGCGCUGAGAACUUUAAGCUGUCCAUUUUCUCUGAUAAAAUAAAAAUAUACUGUAAAACAAAUAAUAAGAGAAACUGGAAUGUAAGGUAUGGGAGAAUAAAUAUUAUGAGGAAAUUCCUUUGGAUUCCUUUGUUUUUAUUAGGAUAUUGGUACCCUUAAAUGAGUAGAAACAUGACAACCACUGCACAUACACCAACUGAAGAUGAUAAUCAAUUACUUUUACCAAUUUUUUGUAACGAUCAUUUUCAUAUUUUCUGAAAUAAAUGAGGCCUACAAUAAUUGAAAAUUUAAAGAGUUUUGUACCAUACACAAACCAUUUGGUUUUUGUAACCUAGAAGCGACCCAAAUUAUGAUGAGAAUCGGAAUCAAGAUAACGAAUUAUUAGCAAUAUUUAAAAGUGCAGAUUACAUUAAUCAUAACAGUCUGACUGAAAUCAAAAACUAUGUAAUCGUUGUAGGUUUGGUUUCCCUCUUAACAUUGAAGUUGACUGCUAACCAGAAGUUACAUCAACCAAAAAUAAGAAUGAACAGUGACCAUUCGUAAGCGUGUUCUUAUGAACAGAAUAAACAAAAUAACUGGUUCAGAACAACCCUCACCUGAAUUUGACUUUUACAAGUAUUCCAAAUUGAUCAAAGUCCAUAUCAUGCUCAUCUGAGGAGUGGAGAAACAUAGGUAAGGAUGGAAGCAUAAGAAGACCAAAUAAAAUUAAUUUCAGUUUACCAUUUGACAUACCUAGUGAAACUUCUCCGGCAACAGCCAUCUGUUGAAAAUUUCGAUUAAAAGUUUCAUUUAUCUGAGCCACAAGAUUUCUGAGAGUUGGAAGCCACUUUUCCUGCAGAAGAACUUAAAAUAUUUGAGCUUUUCUCAAGAACCAGAAACACAAAAGAAGAUCAUGCAGACCACAUACUAUAAAUCACAUUAUAUAUGCAUAGAAAUCAGGACAUAGCAUAUUUCAGGUGUAAAUCCCAAAUUCACAGGAAAUAUAUUAUCUCACUCUUUAACCCCUGAUCUAAAAGAUUAACUCUUCAAGUCAAGUUAUUUUUGAAAUAGCAUCAAUACUACUUCAGCUACAUGCUAACAAUUCUGGACUUGAAUACUGGCUUCUCUCAAUUAGUUCUGAAGAUUUUAUCACGAAGAACUAGCAAGCUUAUUUAAUAGGAUGGAUCAAAUUAUAUCAUAUCAGUACAUUAACUGUAUAGGUCGACCAAUCCAUUUUGGACCUCUUCUCCCUUUCUCUCUAACCUAGAGAAAAAAUAGCUACAAACAUUACAAAUGUAUAUGCAAGCAUACACAUGUUCUGCAAAACACAUAAAAAUAAAAACAUGUUUGUUCUUCUUUGCCUUUCUCUUUUUAGUUUUUACCAUUCCAAACGCAUUUUAUUAAGAAAGAUUGAUCUAUUUAACUCUACACAAAUGAAACUUAGCAAACAGAUGAUUAGGAACUUUGCAAAUUUAUAAUUUUACAUCCACAUACAUAAAUACAAAAAAAAUAUAUAUAUAUUGGGUAUGAAUUUGUUUGCCGAAAUCCAUACAAUCUAAUAACAUUCAGUCAAACAGACAAAAAUUGCUAAAACUAACGUAGGAGAGAGAUUUUCUAAACUAAUCCAAAAUAUUAGUGAAAGUGCGUAUAGAAAAAGAUGACAGGAUGCUGCAAAGAAGAGCUACUAGAAGCAUUCUCUACAUCGUAAAAUUCUAGUUAUGUAAAGAAACACUUUUCAGACCUUAAUGGUUUUCAAUUCUGCAAGACAUUUUGUAGCUUCCACCUUGUCUGUGUCAAGUUUUUUUGCAAGAUCUUCUAUCUGUAUAGUCACUGUAAAUAUAGAGGGCACAUGGAAAUGACCAAAAUAAAUUACAACAAUAAAGAGUACCUGUCUUUGACGAUCCUCAUAUUGUUGCAAUAUGUGAGGAUUCACAAAAAGCAUUGAAUUAGCUUGAGAUGUUGUAUAUUGAAUAGCUUCUUCCAACUCCUCAAUUGUAGUAGGCAUCUACAUUGAAAAACCCAAAUGUGUUUAGAAUUCCCAUUGACUUAGAAGUUACAUUCAUUAUUCGUAGAAUUUUGGGUUGAGUCUAAUAACCUUACAAAACCGGCUUGUAAGGUGAGGGCUUCCUAUUUGGGUCUUCCUAUUGGUGGUGAUCCGAGAAAAUUGGCUUUUUGGUAUCCUCUGGUCGACCGUAUUAAAAGAAGGUUGUCUGAUUGGAAAAGUCGUAAUCUGUCUAUGGGUGGUCGUUUGAUAUUGCUUAAGCCUGUCCUGUCCUCCAUUCCAGUCUAUUUUCUUUCCUUCUUCAAAGCCCCCUCAGGUAUAAUUUCUACCCUUGAAUCUUUAUUUAAUGCAUUUUUUUGGGGGGGAUGUGAGGAUAUUAGGAAAAUUACUUGGAUUAAAUGGGAGACUGUUUGUUCGCGUAAGGGGGAAGGCGGAUUAGGGGUGAGGAGAUUGAGGGAGUUUAAUUUAGCUCUUUUGGGUAAGUGGUGGUGGCGAAUUUUACAAGAGCGUGGCACCCUUUGGUAUCGUGUCCUUUGUGCCCGUUACGGAGAGGAGGGAGGGCGGCUUUGCUGUUCUUGUAGAGAUGGUGGUUCAGUGUGGUGGCAGACUAUUUUAGAUGUUAGGGAUGGUGUAGGUCAGAUUGAUUCAGGUUGGAUGCUGGACAAUAUUUCUCGUCGUGUAGGGAAUGGUUUGUCCACUUUGUUUUGGGUCGACCCUUGGCUGGAGGAGAAACCUUUGAGUUAGCGGAGAAUAAAUUAUACACGGUGGCCGAGUUGUUUGCGAGAGGGUGGGGAGUUAAUGGGAAGCGUGGAAGUAGCGUACGAUACUUUUCGCGUGGGAGGAGGGUUUGUUGGGGGAUUGUAUUACUCGUAUAUCUAAUUUCUCUUUUCAGGGUGACCGUGCAUAUAGUUGGAUUUGGACAUUACAUGAUUCUUCUUGUUACACUGUUAGUUCUGCUUAUUAUUAUUUAACAGACAUGGAGGUUGAUGAGCAUCAUCAGCAUAAUAAUAAUUAAAGGUUCUUAUGGCUGAAAGCGGUGCCUCUUAAAGUAGUAAUUUUUGCUUGGCGCCUGUUCCUCAACCAGAUUCCUACUAGAGACAAACUUUUUCAUCAAAAGGUUUUGCUUGCUUCUGAACAGGGGUGUAUCGCUAAUUGUGGUUUUAAUGAAGACAGAGAUCAUUUACUUCUCACAUGCGGUUUCUUCGCCCGUGUGUGGCAUAUCAUUGCGCUUUGGCUUGGUUACUCAACGGCUUUUCAUUGUCACUUCUUUGAACAUUUUCAUCAUUUUAGUGGUUUGCGUGGGUUCUCUAAGAAAUCGAUUGAGUCCAUGCAGAUUAUUUGGUUUGCGGUAUCUUGGACAAUUUGGAAAGAACGGAAUAACAGAAUUUUCAAAGGAAAGGAGGAUAACUUGCUAAAGCUAGGUGAAAGGGCAAAGCUUCAAUCUUUUUGGUGGUUGAAAUCGAAAUACACUAACUUUGAUUUUGACUAUCACGAAUGGCGGCGGAGUCCUCUAACUUGCUUAAACAUUAUUUUCUAGCUUGUUGUUUCUUUGUUUCACUUUGUUUCUGCGCCUUUUGGCUUGUACAGGAUUGUUUUGUGUACUCAUUGUGGCUAGGCGUUUUGGCACGCCUUGUGCUUUAGCGUCUAGGUUUAUUCAAUAUAUAUUCCAUUUUGGCUUUUUCAAAAAAAAAAUUAUAUAUAUUAAGAUUAAUAUUGUCCUAUUACGACUUUCAUUGACAUUUUAAAAAAAGAUGAUAUGGCCAUGGUGAUUAACAUUCCUAAACAAAAAAUUUAAAUUGAAAUAGUACAUGAUGAUGAGUUCACUCAAUUAAACAUAUAUCAAAAGUUAAACUUAUCACCAGCUUACAGCCACUUUACUUUACAAACUGAUCUAUAUCCAUGGUAUAUAUUUGUUUCUUUAUUUCAGUCCUUUAUAACAUGCACUCGUAUUUCAUUCCUUAACCUCGACUGAAUUAAUUGAUACACAUUCUUUUUCGAAACAAUGCUAUUCACAGUGCUUAGAUUUUGAAAAACUCACAAACUAAGAAUUUGAGCUUUGCAAAUAUAGAAAAAAGGUGUAAGUGCAAUAAAUUGCAAGUGCUUUAUCAAAUAAACCCUACUUUUAUUGACUAAAGGCAAUUAACCACACAAGUACUUUUGAAUUACAAGGAACAAAAGGCAUGUCAUGUUAACUAAAUAAUAUGUCUUUGGUAUUAAUUAAGCUAAUUAGUAAUUAGAUAAUUCAUUGAAGAUUAUUAUGUUCUAUUAGAGUUGGUCCAACAUCCUAUAUCUAUUGGAUCACACUUAUCAGAGAUUUCAGUUGCUAUGUAGCUCAUGCUUUUUGUAUAUAUAACUGCAUCAAGGAAUAAAAAAAAUGGAUAUAUGUUGAAAUUAGAGGUUGUUGCUAAUAAAAAUUGAUCAAUACUUGUUCUAUUGAAUUGAUAUGCUUGUCAUCAAUAGGAAACUGCAUUAUUAUGUCUUUAAAUUUUGGCACAUAUGUUGUGCUUUCAAACCACAUCUACCACAAAACAUAUGUAGCUGGUUGUAAUUUGUGGCAUGCCUAAAUUUUUUUUUUUUUUUUUUUUUUUGGUGUUGUAACAAAAAACAUAUAUUAUGUCCUGGAAUGUUUAUAUAUAUAUAGCCGAGUAGUCCCAUUAUCCUUAAUCUUAGUUAUCUAAUUCUCUUUUCUCUCUUUACCUAAUCCUUGUGAUUUCAACAUAGUACCAAAGCCAUAUUAAAUUCAUAUUUUGUUAAAAAAAAAAUCUACUUUUUUAAAGAUUUUUACAAUAUUCUACACAUUUCUGCAUAAUUUCAUUAAAAAAAAUACAAAUAUUACUCAUGAAUUGACUUAAAAAUUGGCACCAAAAGUGGAAAUUGAAAAUCUUAUAAAGACUAAAAGUUGAAAAAAAUAAAUUAAAGGAACUAAAACGAAAAAAUUGAUAUAUUUAUUGAGACAAAAAAAUAUUUAACUUUUCAAAGAAUGUCUCUCCUCCUUUGUUUGGACUCUUUAUUAAUUAAAGGUGAUUUUAUAAACUUCAGAUGUUUCUCUUGUUGUUUUGAGAUCUGCCAUUAAGCACCAUGUUUGGAUUGCCUUUUUUCCUUCUGAUAUUUAUUGGUUCUAUUGUGGUUUUGCUUAGCUCUCUAUUUUUUGUUUUACCAUUGUGGCUUUUGCAUUAGCACCUUAUUCUUAUUUUUGUUUGUUUAAAGGAAUGAUCAAUAUAAAUGCUUCCGGUUGUUAUACUUAUGGUAGCUUUUAUUUAUAGAUAUUUAUAAUUAAUUUAUAGAAAUAUAUAUAUAUAUAUAUAUAUAUAUAUAUAUAUAUAUAUCAAGGAUUAAUUACAGAUGAAUAAAAGACAAGCGAACAAUAAGUUGCGCCAUUAGAUCUUUAAGGAAGGCAAAACUAAUCCUCGUGAACACGACAUUCAUGAAUCUAGGAGACGUGACAUUGUUAUACAUGACCAUUUGAACUCUAUAUAGAUCAACAACAUCUGGUGCUAGGAAGUCAAAAGUGUCAAACGUAAAUGGAAUAAAAAUAUCUUGAUUGUCAAAAACAUGUUUUUUUUUCAUGUUUGGUCACUAUGACGCAUCUUUUAGGAUUGUCUGUCAUACUUUAAAACCCCUGACCUCUAAUCCCAUAAGUGAUGAAACCCCAAUCAAAUAAAAAUAAGAGAAAUGAAUGAAAACAUAAUUGCAAUAAUUAAUAGAAUAGUUUAGAAAUUACAAAGCAAGAUUACAAUAUAUCAAGGAGAGGAGUGGGCUCUAAUUGCAGUACUCAAUCAAAAUGUUCCUGAAAUUUCAAUUAUCCACGAACUAACUCUCAUUCUCAUCAAUGGAAUGGAUGAGGGGUUGUGAGGUCUCAAGUGGUUGCUAACGGUUAAGCAAAUCACUCAAAGCGUAGAUCAUGCAUCCCACUACCGUAGGCUUGAAAAAAUUCUCACGACGUCACAAAUACAUGGUUUAGCACAAAUACAUGGUUUAGGAAUAUAUAUUGUAUAAAACCCAUAUAAAACACUAAUAAGUUUCAUUUCGAUAAAUGCUAUUUGAAAGUUAAACUAAAAACAACUUAGUUUGCAUGACUUACGUAAACUGAGUUUAUGUAUACUUAUUCGUUUCUUCAGUUUAUGAGGUUUACCGUUUACGUGAAUUGAAUUGUUUAUAAUAUAGUACAUACAAGUACGUAAACUCAAUUUACAUACACUAUAGUAAAUCCAGUUUACAUGAUUUACAUAGACUAAGUUCACCUAGACUUAGUUUAUUGAAUAAUACAAUGAUCAUUUGUUUUAUUUUAAUCAUUUUAAGGUGUAAUCAAUUUUUUUAGGUAUGACUAGAAAAAAAUCUAAACAUAACUAGUAGAUCAAAUUUUAAAAAUUCAAAACUCACUAAGUCAUUAACCCAUAGAUUCAUUUUUGUUACUGUAGCAUACAACUAGCAUGUGCAAUUAAACAGACAAUCAGCCAUAAUCGAUUAGAGAAAAAUAAUAACGCAGAGAAUAAAUAUCACACACAACUAGUUUUAGUUGAAAAUUUUCCUUCAAUAUGUGAAAAUAAAAAUCACGGAACAUAGUCCGGUUAAACCUUCAUUAUAAGCAAUAAUAAUAAAAGUCAUAGAACCUAGUCUUCUUCAACGGACCAGAGGUCGAAUGGUGGAACCCGGCGGUGUGUUUCGAGAAGUUUUUUCUUUUUUUUUUUUCUUCUUUUUCGGGUGUUUAAUUGUACUUGGCGGUGGUGAUGAGAAGUUGAAGUUAUGUUUUCAUGGAUUUUGAUUGGUUUGAUAGUUUUUGAAGGGUUUUAUGUUGAUCGGUGAAAGAUGUCUUUUGCGGGGAAGUGUGGAGGUUUGAAUUUGAUUUAGAUGUUUACUUUAUUUUCUUAUGACUAGUUUUUUUAUUGGUGUUUGUGGAAUUUUUUUUUUUUCUUCUGAGAGAUGAUGUUUGAGAAAGUUAGUUGGUGUUUUUAUUGUUUUCCUUUUGAGUGUUUCGCCUCUAUGGGCCCGUUUGUUAUAAAGAUUCUAAAAAAAUAAAUUUUCCUUUGUAUUUUUAAAAAUAAAUUUUUUGGAAAUAUACUCAAAAAUAGUAUAAGUUAUUUCAAAUUCAUUUGUUAUAAGUUAAAAAAAGAUAUUUUAACAUUCACCAACCUAAAUAUUCAUUGUUCGAGAUUUUACAUAGUAAAAAUCGAAUAUUUUUUCAAAACAAUAUAUUUCAAAAAUGAUUUUUAUGAAAAGACAUUUGAAAUAGCUUUUAUUUUAGAGAUUUUUUCAAAAUUUUAGUAUCCAAAAAAAUUAUAACAAAAUGAUAAAAUAUCUAGAAUGACAUUUUAAGAUAAACUAUUCAAACCAAUUUUUUAUUUGAAGCUUUCCUUAAAAUUUUCUUUGUUAAAUUUUUUUUAACAAAAAUAUGUUACACUACAAGAAUAUAUUUUAUAAAAAAGGUAUAACAAACGGAUAUAUGACGCAUUUGUUUUUGAGUUUAUGUCAGGCAAUCUCUAUUCAUCUUAUAUAAGAUUUGAUUAUUAAUAAAUUUUACCCUAAAAAAGAAUACACAAUAUUCUUUGAAGUAAACAGUAGAGAUCAACAAACAUCACCAAUUAUAAAAAUCAACAACAAAACAACUUUUUCAUAAGAAUUGAUAAACCAACCAAUCUAUAAAAACCCAUAAAUAAAAAAAACAAAAACAAAAACUAACUAAGCCAUAAGAAUCUAAAACUUCUUCUCUCUAUAGGUUUGCCGCCGCUGCAUUAUUCUUUUUCUUUCUCGUGAUGCUACAGUUCUUCUUGGCUUCAUGCGACAACAUGGUAGCAUGGCAAAAUCCAAUAAACAAACUAACCAAACAUAAUAAAAAAUAAAAACUUAUUAUUCAAUUCACCGCUAAAUACAAAAAUUAAUGAAUUACUUUAUCUGCAACUUAGUUUAAACUAAAAAAAUAUAUAUAUCGUAAAAUCAAAACCAAAAGUAUAGUCAAUAUAAUGAAAAGCACCUAAAAAACACCUAAAUAUAAGGAAAACUGACUCAUACUUUUUUGUAUGGUUUUUAGCUAAAUUCACCAUAAUUUCAUCCAAUAUAAAUAUAUUUUAAAGCAAAAAGGAAACUUUUUAUGCAUUUAUUACACAAUUUAUACAUUGAUUACACAACUUUUAAUAUAAAAUACUACCUGAUUUGACUCUUAACGAAGCACUGAUUGAAGUGUUUUAUUUUCUCGCCGGUCAUUUUCACUUGGUUCGUAUACAGGAAACUUACUUCAGCAAUUUGAAGCAAAACUCCAAAAACCAAAGUUACAAAUAUCACCAAAAGUCAAAGUCAUCUAAUUGAAACUUGGUACUCUUGUUAUGGCAGCCGCGCAGCCCAUAUCAAAUUGGCAAGUGGGAUUACUUGAUCAAUCUAUGCAUAUAAUAGAUACACUCAGUUAUGUUUGUUCAUUAACCAAAAUGAUGAAAUUAUAUCAAUUUGAAUUUUUCUUAUUCCUUCUUAUCAUUGUCAAUACAACCCUUUCCAGUUCUUUCCCUACACUCUCUCAAUUUGCGAAACCAUUGGAGUAUAUUAAGAAAACAACGGAAGCUGCUGACUAUAUAUGGGAUAAGAAAAUAAAGAAGUUGGUCGAGGACUUAAAAGACAAGAACUUGAAAAAUAUCAAACCGUCCCUUCCAUCACAAUUACCAAAAUACAAAGGUGUAGAUCAAAUCAAACAAUAUUUGUCCGAUUUCGGCUACCUCGAACAAUCUGGGCCGUUCAAUAACACUCUAGACCAAGAAACAGUCUUAGCCCUUAAGACCUACCAACGAUAUUUCAAUAUCCAACAAGAUACUCUCA
rnacentral:lncRNA from 1 species